AGGUCUAUUCUGCCCACUGAUUUUUUGAAGGGCUGCGGUAAUUUGACUGUACAAAGGUAGCAUAAUCAAUAGUUUUUUAAUUGAAAACUGGUAUGAAUGAGUGAAUAGAAGAUUAGCUUUCUUUUUUUUAAUAUUAAAAUUUUAUUUUUUAGUAAGAAGGCUGAAAUUUGUUUAAAAGACGAGAAGACCCUAUAGAUUUUUAUUUAAUUAUUUUUUCUGGAAUUUGAUUUAUUUUAGUAUACAUAGAAAAUUUAAUUAAAUUUGGUUGGGGUGAUUAAGAAAGAUAAAUAUUUUUUUUUUAUUUAAAUUAAUUUAUUUAAUUUUGUGAUCCUGAAAUUUGGGUUAUAAGAUCAAAUUACCUUAGGGAUAACAGCGUAAUUUCUUUGGAAAGUUCAUAUUGAUAAAGAAGAUUGCGACCUCGAUGUUGAAUUAAGAUAAAAAGUGGGAGUAAAAAUUUACUUUUUUUAGUCUGUUCGACUAUUAAAUUCU
rnacentral:rRNA from 1 species